UACAGAGGUCCCGAGCGUUACUGAGAAUCACUGGGUUUAAAGGGUGCGUAGGUGGUCCGUUAAGUCAGUUGUGAAAUCCCCGGGCUCAACUCGGGAACUGCUUCUGAUACUGGCGGACUUGAGGCCAGUAGGGGUCACUAGAACUGACGGUGGAGCGGUGAAAUGCGUAGAUAUCGUCAGGAAUGCCGGUGGUGAAGACGGGUGACUGGGCUGGUUCUGACACUGGAGGCACGAAAGCGUGGGGAGCGAACGGGG
rnacentral:rRNA from 1 species